GCGGGCGUAGCUCAGUGGUAGAGUGUCGGUCUUCCAAGCCGACUACACGGGUUCGAUUCCCGUCGCCCGCU
rnacentral:tRNA from 1 species